CCCUUGAGGGCAGCACCGAAGGAGUGGACUCAUCUGCAGGGGGCAGACAAGUAGGCACAAUGGUGGGACGUGUUAUUGCUCCCUUACCCUUGCAACAGGAUCUACUAAGAAGGCCCACCUAGAAGUCUAUGAUGACUUCAAAUCUUGAGGCAGUCAUGCCUGGAUCAAGAAUCAGCCCUGGAGUCUCAGCCCUAUCACAUACAAAUGAAUGGACUUUACCAGGCAGCAGCAUGGAAACAGGCACAGAUGUAAUGGUUAGAAUUGGACCUGAGACCCAGACCUUCUAGACGUAAGUACUGGCUCCACUCCUUACUAGCUUUGUGACCUUGGGCAAAGGUGCCUCUAUUUAGCACUUGCUUCAGAGGGUUGUUCCGAAGAUUAAAUUAGUUAAUGCAUAGAUAUCAAAUAUUUAGGACUGCUCUGGACACAAGGCAUGCACUACACUGUGUACAUAUUACUAUACUAAACUUUUCUUUACUCUAGCUUUCUGAUGCCUGUUUAAAGGGAGCAGCUAGCACCAACUUUCGCCGAAGCUGGAACACUGUCAUAUCUUCCAAUUUUUCAGUAAAAGUCAGAAAUUUGGACUUUCGUGUGAAAUGUCAAGGUUUUUAAAUGCUGGGAACUAAUUCAGGUUUGGUUUAUGUUUGAAUGGCUGGGAGGUCUAAAGGCAACUGUCUGCAGUCUGGGUGAAUCCUGAGGCUUGCCAGUCCAUCGUGGCGGCCACUCAACUCCUCAACCAAAGCUUCAGGGCCACUGGCCUGUCCCCCACUUCUUUCUUUUCCAUAGAACUUCUCAAAAUCUUACAUACGUUUUACUUGCUUACCUUUUGCCUUUGGUCCCUCAAACCAUCACACAAGAAUGGAAGCUCCUUGAAGGUGAGAAGUUUGUUUUGCUCGUUGUUAUGUCCCUAUACCCCAGAACAGAGCAUGGCAUGCCAUCCGUGCUCACCGGGAACUGAGUGAAUAACUGGUCAUCUCUCCAUCCUCGCCUUCUCCCUCUAGGGCUGGCCUAGUCUUCCUAUCUUACCUCCUUUUAGCAAACUAAUCACACGAGAAUGAGGAGAGUGAAGUCUAUAAGCACAAACUCCCGAGUGUAUUGUGGUUUUCUGGAGGAAGCCCAGUGGGCCUGGCUUUGAGGAUCUACAAGAAACUGGUUAAAAUAAUAAGAGAGGUCGUGGUGCUGAAGAAUCCAAGGACUUUUCAAAAUACUUAACAAAACCAUCACAAGUAUUAUCCAAUAAAACAUUUUGCAAUGGCAAAACAAUCUCUCUCUCUCAAGGCAUAUUUGACAAGGUGAAUUUCUGUAUAUUAAGAAGGCUUAACUUCCAUCUGGAAAUCCAUCCAGAAUUAUACCUUUGUGUAAUACCUGAACAAAGGCAAUUAGAGUCAAUUUCUAAUACUGGUCCUAAAGCAUCCCCAUGGCCUAGAAAUUGUUUUUAAAUACAAGGUGAGAGUGACACUGAAUUUCCCUAUAUGAACAGGAAAACAAAACAUGUGUGUGUGUCUGUGCUGUUACUUAAGGCAAAUUAAUUGGCUAUAUGGUAACUAAAUUGAUAGAAAUAAUAAAAUUGUAAAACUCACUUUCAAUAUAUUGGAAAAAUUUCUUGGAUAACUCUGUCCACCCACCCAUCCAUCCACCCUGCUCUCUAAAGAAUACAGCUGUUCUUCCUAUUUUAAGCCAAUGCUACCUGUUAUUCAUCAAAUAUAAGAGGCAAGGUGCCGAAGGUGAAUGAGACAUACACGAAAUACACAAUUCUUGCCUUUAUGGAGCUUCCAGUCUCCUGUGGGGACCAAACAUUAAACAAAUGCUUGAUGAUCCCAACUGUUUAUCUCCCACAUGGCCCAGUCGCAGGCCAAGAAGGGCAAUCUGACCUUCAACUUAACUUUGUGUGCCAGUGUUCCCUGCACCUACUUUCAAUUUGUUGAGAGUGAACUUCUAACCAGUAACAUCUCUAUGCUGAUUUUUAUGCUUUAAUAGCUGCAACAAAAUACUAAUACUUUUCCCAGAUUUCUCAAAUAAAUUCAGGAUCUGGUGUUUGGAAAAAUGUACAUUACCCAAGAAGUGCUGGGAAAAUGAUUCCCAUGUGGAAACACCUUCCAUGGACCAUGGUAUGAAUAGUGAGGAUCUAGUUUAAGAAGAUCCUUUCUAAUAUAAACAAAACAGAUUACUUAGUUCAGUGACACUGGCUAUCAAAAGUCAAUGAGAAGGCUAUACAAAAAGUUGAGGGAGAAAAAUUGGCAGAUAAAACAAGAACAGCAACAAAACUUUAGAAGGUGCUUCCCUUUUCCCAUUCUCUUUCCUGGGAGCUUCCUUUUCCAGUGUCCAGCCUUCCCUGGGACUUUGAUCUUGCACCUUGUUUCCCUUUCAUUCUAUUGUUUUGCCUGGAGUUUAAAACUCAAAUGUCAACAGGGGCUAAGCAGGUCACAGCAACAGGUGGAGUGAGUUGGUUGGGUAGUCAAGCAAAAAGAGAGCACCCUAAUAUCUAUUGGUAUAACCCUUCCUUCCACAACAAUAUUGCUUCCAUCUUAAAAUUCAGGCUCCAUAUCACUAGGUCUGGUUUAUCAUGUGAAAUACAUGGAGUUGUAAAUGUUGAUUCACAUUUUUUAAAAAAAGGUGCAAAUUAAAUAAAACAUAUUUUAGAGAUCUAUAUAGUCUAUAGAACACCAAUUUCCAACUAAUUUAUAUUUUGACAAGUUUUAAAAUCUCUGUCUUUCAUUCUAACACUCUCCAGAGAUCUAAUACAGGCAUUCAACUUCCAACUGGGUACACCCCAAAGUGCUCCUGUCUCCCUGUUCAAAAUUGUUAGUUCAAAACUGGCUCUAACAAUCCUGCUCAUUUCUCCUGAAUCCUGUUGAAUGACAACACCCUAGGUUCCACCUUGCCCUUCCCUCCCACUUAGCCAUCCCCAUUCAAAGAACCAACAAGCCUCAUGGUUUCCUCAACUCCUUGUUUUGGUCCCUUCAUCUCUUCCAAUCCAGACAAUUAGUGUCUAACUUCAACUACACAAUAACUUUCCAGUAAUUUUCUCAACAUCAUCAGCUCCACUGCACUCAAAUACCAUAUAUAACAAGGGAAGCCAAGAUUGUAUCCACCCUACUCAUUGAGUCUUGUCGGCUCUCUAUCCUACAGCAUAAAACCUAACUCCUUAUUACAGCAGAGACCUCAAAUCCUGGCCUCUGACUGCUCAGCCAGCUUCUCCUCCACUCACUCGAACCACGUAUCAUAACUGUGCAGAAUGAUCUGUCUGUCAGUGAACUAUGUUUAUGCCGUUGAUCUUUUGUGCCUCUGUUUUUAAUACUUCCUCUCUCCUUUGCCUGAAAUACCCUUCUCACUAGUCCACUUGUCUAUACUCAGUCAAGCUCUACUCAUUCUUUAAGCUUCAGCUUGAGCCAUCCCUGUCUUCCUCAGAAAGAUUUAGGUACUCUUUUGAUUCCAACUGUACUGAAAAGAACCAAGACUAUUAAAGACAGAAAAAGAAUAAUGCUUUUCAUCUUUAUAUCAGAGUCUCUAGUACACCAUCUGGUACACUGUGGUGGCUUCAUAAAUAAUUUGUUAAAUAAAGGAGGAGUGAGCUUUGGGUCUGGGGAAGAAAUAACGUAUAGUUAUAGAAGGGAAAAAAAGAAAUCAAGAAUUUGGAUUUGGAUAAUCUCUGGCCUGGACUACUGCCAAGGUCUUCUAUCUAGGCUACCAAUUAAUCCAAUCAUGUUUUGCCCCUAUUCAACUUUCCAAUGGCUCCCAGUAAACUUAGAAUGAAUGUAAACUCAUCAUUAUCAUGAGGCCCACCUCAUGAUAAUGCCCACCUCUCUACCUUGUUUCCUGACCCUUGCCCUUUUUAUCUGGGCCUAUUUCCAUUCUUAGAAUGUGUCCAUCUGUUAUUUCUUCUGCUGGAUAUGCUCUUCUUGUCAUUCAGACAUAGGGUGAAAUCUCAUCUUACCAAGCUUUUCCUAUUACCCUACUUUCUGUUCUUCACAGGUCUUAACAUUAUCUGAAAUUAUUUUUU